rnacentral:rRNA from 1 species
AGAGUUUGAUCAUGGCUCAGAUUGAACGCUGGCGGCAGGCCUAACACAUGCAAGUCGAGCGGUAGAGAGAAGCUUGCUUCUCUUGAGAGCGGCGGACGGGUGAGUAAUGCCUAGGAAUCUGCCUGGUAGUGGGGGAUAACGCUCGGAAACGGACGCUAAUACCGCAUACGUCCUACGGGAGAAAGCAGGGGACCUUCGGGCCUUGCGCUAUCAGAUGAGCCUAGGUUGGAUUAGCUAGUUGGUGAGGUAAUGGCUCACCAAGGCGACGAUCCGUAACUGGUCUGAGAGGAUGAUCAGUCACACUGGAACUGAGACACGGUCCAGACUCCUACGGGAGGCAGCAGUGGGGAAUAUUGGACAAUGGGCGAAAGCCUGAUCCAGCCAUGCCGCGUGUGUGAAGAAGGUCUUCGGAUUGUAAAGCACUUUAAGUUGGGAGGAAGGGCAUUAACCUAAUACGUUAGUGUUUUGACGUUACCGACAGAAUAAGCACCGGCUAACUCUGUGCCAGCAGCCGCGGUAAUACAGAGGGUGCAAGCGUUAAUCGGAAUUACUGGGCGUAAAGCGCGCGUAGGUGGUUCGUUAAGUUGGAUGUGAAAUCCCCGGGCUCAACCUGGGAACUGCAUUCAAAACUGACGAGCUAGAGUAUGGUAGAGGGUGGUGGAAUUUCCUGUGUAGCGGUGAAAUGCGUAGAUAUAGGAAGGAACACCAGUGGCGAAGGCGACCACCUGGACUGAUACUGACACUGAGGUGCGAAAGCGUGGGGAGCAAACAGGGUUAGAUACCCUGGUAGUCCACGCCGUAAACGAUGUCAACUAGCCGUUGGGAGCCUUGAGCUCUUAGUGGCGCAGCUAACGCAUUAAGUUGACCGCCUGGGGAGUACGGCCGCAAGGUUAAAACUCAAAUGAAUUGACGGGGGCCCGCACAAGCGGUGGAGCAUGUGGUUUAAUUCGAAGCAACGCGAAGAACCUUACCAGGCCUUGACAUCCAAUGAACUUUCCAGAGAUGGAUUGGUGCCUUCGGGAACAUUGAGACAGGUGCUGCAUGGCUGUCGUCAGCUCGUGUCGUGAGAUGUUGGGUUAAGUCCCGUAACGAGCGCAACCCUUGUCCUUAGUUACCAGCACGUAAUGGUGGGCACUCUAAGGAGACUGCCGGUGACAAACCGGAGGAAGGUGGGGAUGACGUCAAGUCAUCAUGGCCCUUACGGCCUGGGCUACACACGUGCUACAAUGGUCGGUACAGAGGGUUGCCAAGCCGCGAGGUGGAGCUAAUCCCACAAAACCGAUCGUAGUCCGGAUCGCAGUCUGCAACUCGACUGCGUGAAGUCGGAAUCGCUAGUAAUCGCGAAUCAGAAUGUCGCGGUGAAUACGUUCCCGGGCCUUGUACACACCGCCCGUCACACCAUGGGAGUGGGUUGCACCAGAAGUAGCUAGUCUAACCUUCGGGAGGACGGUUACCACGGUGUGAUUCAUGACUGGGGUGAAGUCGUAACAAGGUAGCCGUAGGGGAACCUGCGGCUG